UCUAUAAUGCUGUUAAACCCGCCCUGAGUAGUACCAGCGUCAGCUUUAAACUCAAAGAAUUUGGCGGCACCUUUACCCGCUAGAGGAGCCUGCCCCAUAAAUGAUGACCCACGCUUCGAUAGUCCUAAAUUUACAGUUUGUAUACCGCCGUUUAGGGUAUAUUAGGAAAUAUGCUCGAGAUAAAAUUAUUUAAUACGUCAGGUCAAGGUGCAGCCUAUGUUUAGGAGGUGGUGGGCUACAUUAAAUACAUUUAAACGGAAUUUAUUUAUAAUAAUUAAAUUAAGGUGGAUUUAUAAGUAAGACACUAAGAUAAAAUGUCUGAAAGGG
rnacentral:rRNA from 1 species